rnacentral:rRNA from 1 species
UUUAACUGAGCGUUCAGUUACUUGACGUAGACCCGAAACCGGGCGACCUACCCAUGAGCAGGAUGAAGCGAAAGUAAAAUUUCGUGGAGGUCCGAACCCACGAGCGUUGAAAAGCUCGGGGAUGACUUGUGGGUAGCGGUGAAAUUCCAAUCGAGCCCGGAGAUAGCUGGUUCUCCCCGAAAUAGCUUUAGGGCUAGCCUCAAGGUGAGAGAUACGGAGGUAGAGCACUGAAUGUCCUAGGGGGUAUUGCACCUACCGAAGACUAUCAAACUCCGAAUGCCGUCAUCUUAUACUUGGGAGUCAGACUGUGGGUGAUAAGAUUCAUAGUCGAAAGGGCAACAGCCCAGAUCGUCAGCUAAGGUCCCUAAAUGUAAGUUAAGUGGUAAAGGAUGUGGGAUUGCACAGACAACCAGGAUGUUGGCUUAGAAGCAGCCACUCAUUCAAAGAGUGCGUAAUAGCUCACUGGUCGAGUGAUCCUGCGCCGAAGAUUUCCGGGGCUAAAACUUACUACCGAAGCUACGGCAUCAGUAAUGAUGGGUAGGGGAGCUUCCCAUACGGGUUGAAGCAUGAC